rnacentral:tRNA from 1 species
GGGGAUGUGUUGGAACCCGGUAGACAAGAUGGUCUCAAAAACCAUUGGACGCAAGUCCGUGAGGGUUCAAAUCCCUCCAUCCCCA